rnacentral:tRNA from 1 species
GGCGCGGUAGCUCAACAGGCAGAGCCCUGGACUGUCGAUCCAGAGGGUGCCGGUUCGACCCCGGUCCGCGUCGCCA